rnacentral:piRNA from 1 species
GGCAGCUGCAAUCAGUGGUUUCAUCAGGUC